rnacentral:rRNA from 1 species
AUUGAACGCUGGCGGCAUGCCUUACACAUGCAAGUCGAACGGCAGCACGGGGGCAACCCUGGUGGCGAGUGGCGAACGGGUGAGUAAUACAUCGGAACGUGCCCAGUAGUGGGGGAUGGCCCGGCGAAAGCCGGAUUAAUACCGCAUACGACCUACGGGUGAAAGCGGGGGAUCGCAAGACCUCGCGCUAUCGGAGCGGCCGAUGUCAGAUUAGGUUGUUGGUGGGGUAAAGGCCUACCAAGCCUACGAUCUGUAGCUGGUCUGAGAGGACGACCAGCCACACUGGGACUGAGACACGGCCCAGACUCCUACGGGAGGCAGCAGUGGGGAAUUUUGGACAAUGGGGGCAACCCUGAUCCAGCCAUGCCGCGUGCGGGAAGAAGGCCUUCGGGUUGUAAACCGCUUUUGUCGGGGAAGAAACGCUUCGAGCUAAUACCUCGGAGUAAUGACGGUACCCGAAGAAUAAGCACCGGCUAACUACGUGCCAGCCGCCGCCGUAACAC